rnacentral:rRNA from 1 species
GACGAGCCACCCGAACGUUAUUCGGAAUUACUGGGCUUAAAGGGUGCGUAGGCGGUGUAGCAAGUCGGGAGUGAAAUACCCCAGCUUAACUGAGGAAUUGCUUUCGAUACUGCUGCGCUUGAGUGAGACAGAGGUAAGCGGAACUUAGGGUGGAGCGGUGAAAUGCGUUGAUAUCCUAAGGAACACCGGUGGCGAAGGCGGCUUACUGGGUCUCAACUGACGCUGAGGCACGAAAGCUAGGGUAGCAAACAGG